rnacentral:rRNA from 5 species
CAGGUAGGGAUACCCGCUGAACUUAAGCAUAUCAAUA